CACCAGCCUUGGGCACAGCUCCACCCAUCACCCCAGAACACCCCGCAGAAAGUGCCUGUGCAUCAGCAUUCCCCGUCGGAGCCCUUUCUAGAGAAACCAGUGCCGGAUAUGACUCAGUAAUAAGAAACCUGACUCAGAAGCAAGUGCUUUGAAGAAAAAGGUCAACAAGGGAAAAACAGAAGGUUCUGAAAAUUCAGACUUAGACAAAACACCCCCACCAUCUCCUCCUCCUGAAGAAGAUGAGGACCCAGGUGUUCAGAAGAGACGGUCCAGCAGACAGGUGAAGAGAAAGCGCUACACUGAAGACCUGGAGUUCAAGAUUUCUGAUGAGGAGGCAGAUGAUGCAGAUGCUGCUGGGAGGGAUUCCCCCUCCAACACCUCCCAGUCAGAACAGCAGG
rnacentral:lncRNA from 1 species